rnacentral:lncRNA from 1 species
CGCCCGCGCUCUCGGGGCGGACUCCCGGCCCUCCGAGAUCUCCCGCCCGGCGAUGGCCCCGCUCGGAUAUUUCAUAUUCCUCUACGGCCUGAAGCAAGCGCUGGGCAGCUACCCGAUCUGGUGUUUGAGCCCGGCUGCCAGCAACGGAAGAGAAGGAGAGAACCCCACGAACCUCAGGAGCCAGCCCCCUUCAGAAAGGCUCCAAGACCAGAGCCACGAAGGGCAAACCCUACCCUAAUGCUUCAUCAGGAAAUGUUCAAACAUCCAAAAAGAUGCAGGGCUUGAACAA